rnacentral:snoRNA from 1 species
GUGACGAGCCAAUGCAGGCGGCGACUAGAUGACCGGUGACCUGCCGGCUGA